GACGAACGCUGGCGGCGUGCCUAAUACAUGCAAGUAGGACGCACAGUUUAUACCGUAGCUUGCUACACCAUAGACUGUGAGUUGCGAACGGGUGAGUAACGCGUAGGUAACCUGCCUAUUAGAGGGGGAUAACUAUUGGAAACGAUAGCUAAUACCGCAUAACAGUAUGUAACACAUGUUAGAUGCUUGAAAGAUGCAAUUGCAUCGCUAGUAGAUGGACCUGCGUUGUAUUAGCUAGUAGGUAGGGUAAUGGCCUACCUAGGCGACGAUACAUAGCCGACCUGAGAGGGUGAUCGGCCACACUGGGACUGAGACACGGCCCAGACUCCUACGGGAGGCAGCAGUAGGGAAUCUUCGGCAAUGGGGGGAACCCUGACCGAGCAACGCCGCGUGAGUGAAGAAGGUUUUCGGAUCGUAAAGCUCUGUUGUUAAGGAAGAACGAGU
rnacentral:rRNA from 1 species